rnacentral:rRNA from 1 species
ACGGGUGAGUAAUGUCUGGGAAACUGCCUGAUGGAGGGGGAUAACUACUGGAAACGGUAGCUAAUACCGCAUAACGUCGCAAGACCAAAGAGGGGGACCUUCGGGCCUCUUGCCAUCAGAUGUGCCCAGAUGGGAUUAGCUAGUAGGUGGGGUAAUGGCUCACCUAGGCGACGAUCCCUAGCUGGUCUGAGAGGAUGACCAGCCACACUGGAACUGAGACACGGUCCAGACUCCUACGGGAGGCAGCAGUGGGGAAUAUUGCACAAUGGGCGCAAGCCUGAUGCAGCCAUGCCGCGUGUGUGGAGAAGGCCUUCGGGUUGUAAAGCACUUUCAGCGAGGAGGAAGGUGGUGAGCUUAAUACGCUCAUCAAUUGACGUUACUCGCAGAAGAAGCACCGGCUAACUCCGUGCCAGCAGCCGCGGUAAUACGGAGGGUGCAAGCGUUAAUCGGAAUUACUGGGCGUAAAGCGCACGCAGGCGGUUUGCUAAGUCAGAUGUGAAAUCCCCGGGCUCAACCUGGGAACUGCAUUUGAAACUGGCAAGCUAGAGUCUCGUAGAGGGGGGUAGAAUUCCAGGUG